rnacentral:tRNA from 1 species
UGCGGUGUAACUCAAUCGGUAGAGUAAUACAUCAACGCGGCCUUGCCAUGCUGGCCGUGGGAGGUGGAGUCAAGAUGUUGAAUGUCCAGCUCUGGUGUGGGUUCGAGUCCCAUCACUGCAA